rnacentral:rRNA from 1 species
CCUACGGGGAGCAGCAGUAGGGAAUUUUUCACAAUGGGCGAAAGCCUGAUGGAGCAACGCCGCGUGCAGGAUGAAGGCCUUCGGGUUGUAAACUGCUUUUAUAAGCGAGAAAUAUGAUGGUAACUUAUGAAUAAGGAUCGGCUAACUACGUGCCAGCAGCCGCGGUCAUACGUAGGAUCCGAGCAUUAUCCGGAGUGACUGGGUGUAAAGAGUUGCGUAGGUGGCAUAAUAAGUAGCUAGUGAAUUCUGGUGGCUCAACCAUUCAGACUAUUAGCUAAACUGUUAAGCUCGAGAACGUUAGGGGUAACUGGAAUUUCUAGUGUAGGAGUGAAAUCCGUAGAUAUUAGAAGGAACACCAAUAGCGUAGGCAGGUUACUGGGACGGUUCUGACACUAAGGCACGAAAGCGUAGGGAGCAAACGGGAUUAGAUACCCUGGUAGUC